GGAAAGUUGAAAAGUAGUUUGAAGAGAGAGUUAAAAGAGCGUGAAAACGAUUAAGUGGAAGCAAACAGGUUUGUUGGGAGGUAUACAUUUCUAUGUAUAUCUGNUGAUAGGUAUGGAGGGGUAUUAUUAAGUUGUUAUAAGAGGACCCUUUUAGGGAAACCUUGUUAYDGUUGADCRUACUCUUUUCAUAUMDUAUKAGCAUUUAUGAUGGUUACCUGUUUGACCCGUCUUGAAACACGGACCAAGAAGUUUAUUGUAUACGCGAGUCACUAAGUGAAAAACUUAUUGGCGUAAUGAAAGUAAAGGUUCAGUUGUUGAGCUGAUGUGUGAUGUGGUAUUAAYGAAUACCAUAGCAACACGGUCCUAUUCUAAUGGUUUACCAUAGAGUGGAGAUAGAGCGUAUGCAAUGAGACCCGAAAGAUGGUGAUCUAUGCUUGAGCAGGAUGAAGCCGGAGGAAACUCUGGUGGAAGUCCGUAACGGUUCUGACGUGCAAAUCGAUCGUCUGACUUGAGUAUAGGGGCGAAAGACUAAUCGAACCAUCUA
rnacentral:rRNA from 1 species